rnacentral:rRNA from 1 species
AGAGGAGUGCUCGAAAGAGAGCCGUAACACAGGUGCUGCAUGGCUGUCGUCAGCUCGUGUCGUGAGAUGUGGUUAGUCCGCAACGAGCGCAACCCUUGUCAUUAGUUGCUACAUUCAGUUGGGCACUCUAAUGAGACUGCCGGUGACAAACCGGAGGAAGGUGGGGAUGACGUCAAGUCCUCAUGGCCCUUAUAGGUGGGGCUACACACGUCAUACAAUGGAUGGUACAAAGGGUCGCCAACCCGCGAGGGGGAGCCAAUCCCAUAAAGCCAUUCGUAGUCCGGAUCGCAGUCUGCAACUCGACUGCGUGAAGUCGGAAUCGCUAGUAAUCGUGGAUCAGAAUGUCACGGUGAAUACGUUCCCGGGUCUU